AUCUUGGAGUAAAACGGCCUCUUGUAAAGAGUAAUUUAGGAAGCAGUAUUGGAAUCCUUUAUACAGUAUAUGACUAAAUGCUUUAUAGCUAGUAAAUAUACAACAAAGAAAAAUAAUAUGGAUAAUUUCCCUUUUCUAAUAAAUGUUAAGUAUAGAUAUAGUUAGACGGUAGUAGUAGGCGUCCCCAAUUACUUUCUAGUAAACAAGAACGAUUUAUUGAUUUGUUAUUCUUGUUAUUAAAAUCUAGUAAUCUACACGUGCUGAUGACAAUUAUAAUUACUAUUUGUAAUGUUUACUGUAUACGGGCAGUAAUGCAAUAGUUUUAUUGAAUAUAAUUAACUAGCUAUUUAAAUACACAUAUAUAAUGAGGUGCAUGCAUAUUAGAUAAAGUCAGGAUACUACAUCCCUUCCAACUUAAUUUAGAACUUGCUAUAUUUUUAAUAAUAAUUCUACAUACUAUAAUAAUUGUG